rnacentral:rRNA from 1 species
GACGUAGGAUGCAAGCGUUGUCCGGAUUUAUUGGGCGUAAAGAGUUCGUAGGUGGUUUGUUAAGUCUGAUGUUAAAGACUGGGGCUCAACCUCGGGACUGCAUUGGAUACUGGCAGACUUGAGUGCGGUAGAGGCAAGUGGAAUUCCAGGUGUAGCGGUGAAAUGCGUAGAUAUCUGGAAGAACACCGGUGGCGCAAGCGACUUGCUGGGCCGUAACUGACACUGAGGAACGAAAGCGUGGGUAGCGAACAGG